rnacentral:rRNA from 1 species
CCUACGGGGCGCAGCAGUAGGGAAUCUUCCACAAUGGACGAAAGUCUGAUGGAGCAACGCCGCGUGAGUGAAGAAGGGUUUCGGCUCGUAAAGCUCUGUUGGUAGUGAAGAAAGAUAGAGGUAGUAACUGGCCUUUAUUUGACGGUAAUUACUUAGAAAGUCACGGCUAACUACGUGCCAGCAGCCGCGGUAAUACGUAGGUGGCAAGCGUUGUCCGGAUUUAUUGGGCGUAAAGCGAGUGCAGGCGGUUUCAUAAGACUUAUGUGUAAACCUUCUGCUCCACCCGGGA